rnacentral:rRNA from 1 species
GACAGAGGAGCCAAGCGUUGUCCGGACUGACUGGGCGUAAAGCGCCCGCAGGCGGCCGUGCACGUGGGGUGUGAAAGCUCGCGGCUUAACUGCGAGAGGCCAUCCCAUACGGCGCGGCUCGAGCCGUCCAGAGGCCGGUGGAAUUGCCGGUGUAGUGGUGAAAUGCGUAGAGAUGUGGAGGAACACCUGUGGCGAAGGCGCCUUGCUGGCCGAUUUCUGACGCUGAGGCGCGAAAGCGUGGGGAGCAAACAGG